UACGUAGGGUGCGAGCGUUGUCCGGAAUUACUGGGCGUAAAGAGCUCGUAGGUGGUUUGUCGCGUUGUUCGUGAAAUCCCACGGCUUAACUGUGGGCGUGCGGGCGAUACGGGCAGACUGGAGUACUGCAGGGGAGACUGGAAUUCCUGGUGUAGCGGUGGAAUGCGCAGAUAUCAGGAGGAACACCGGUGGCGAAGGCGGCUCUCUGGGACGGUACUGGACGCUGAGACGCGAAAGCGUGGGGAGCGAACAGG
rnacentral:rRNA from 1 species